UGCUGUACAUACACAACUGUGUGUGUGUGAGCGCGCGUAUAUCUCUCUCUCUGUCUGUAUAGAGCCUGCUAAUGUGGAACAUUGUGGACGUUUUAGUCCACAGGAGUGAGGAAGUCUGAAGAUCAAAGCUCUCACCUUCAAACAGUAGACAGCGCUGACUUCUUCAGAGUAGUGCAACCUUGUUCCAGAUUCAAAAGUGUUGAAGACAGAUGUCUGAACAUUGUGGGAAGUGAAGCAAGUUCUCAUCCCACCGUCCUGGAACAAGACUGGUAUGUUCACUCGCAGCUCCAAGAAGAGAGAAUCCAGUAGAACGCUGAACACCCUUGCUGAAUCAGAGAGUGAACAGCUGUGUAACGUGUGUGGAGACCAGUGACCGGGCUUCAUUCUGCACCAAUGGAGGGACAGUUUCGUGGCGAACAAGACACUAAUUUGCCAUUGGAUAAAUAUGUUGUCUGCAAACCCACAACCUUCUGGCCCUCAGCCCUGUGCGCUAUCAAAAUUCCUGCGUUGCCAUGUAAUGCUUACAGGAUGAAGAACCGUUUGGUCUGUCCAAGAAUUGAGGGUAAACGGUAGACAUGUUUUCUGCUAUCCACUUUGUUUGAAUUAUUAUUUAGGGUUUAAACAAGGGCCCCUUUUUAUUUUCAAGCGUUCAGGGAGGGUUUAGGUACAAUAUAUUUUGCUGACGGGAGAGCCAUCCAUGUAACCCUUAUUAUAAAUAAUGUUUACUCCCUAACAUAAAUUAAAUAUUUGAAGUCAUUAGUGUAUGCUGUGCAAAUGUUAACUAUACUAUAAUUGUGGUAGUGUAUAAGGCUUCACAUUCCUACAACCCAUCGACUUGUGCAUCUUGUUCUCUAAACAGCCAUGAAGCCAAAUUGAAGUGCUGUUGAUUAAUAUCUUGGCCCGGGCAGACAACAGAAGUCGUCUCUUUACCCUGACUUUGACCCUGUGGACUGGCCAGUGUGCCAGUGCCAGAAAACCCACAUAAUCAGAGAGCCCAGAAGUCACAAGCCAAAACAGGCUCUCUUUGUGUUGACUCAGCAUUGUGGUGACUUGCAUUUUGAGUAGGUGCUUUUCAUUCUGGGAUGUUCAAAACCUUUUAUUCAGUGUUGGGGGGUGACUUUCAUUGUUUUCUAAUUCUAUGGGACCAGAUCUUGUUUUAAGCUCUGAGGAGUCUUGUUCUCCACCUUCACUUAGUUGUUUGUGUUUACUGUCUCAGUGUUGAAACGCUUUUGUUUCUCCACAGGGAGGCGAACAUGUCUCAUACAGACUAGACUGGAGUACAUAUCCUUUGUCCUAAAGGGCAAUUAGUUUGCAGCAAUAGAUAUCAAAUAUGGAUGUUUAAAAAAUGGUCACCCAGCUUUUAUUAUUGUGUUAUCAUUUUUUAAUAGUGUUCUGCAAUUACAUGUUUUUAACAACCAUGAGAGAUGGUCCUCAUGGCACUGUGUGUGUUCCACAGCUGAUUCCUAAACAAAAACAUAUCCUAAUCUUGUGCCAGACUAGGGGUAUCUCUGUGUGUCUUGUUGCUUUAGUCUGAUCCCCAUCUAUUUUCCUAGACUGUUACUAGAGGUCAUAGUGAACAGGUGCCAAGCACUCUGGGUAUUGGACUGAGACAGAUAGGCAUCAGAAAAUCCCUCUGACCCAGAGAGGGACUGGAGAAGAGGAUGAAGUCACUCACUAGAUUAGUGAUGUAGACCAGCUUAUCUACAGUAUGUAGGAGAGAGGGAGAGGGCAAGUGAAUCCCAAUGUCUGGAGAAGUGCAUUUGGUAUUCUGAAUCGAUUUGUAACUUUGACUGUCAUUGUAACUUUACAUUCCUGUAGGAAAACAUUCGUCCUCGUGAUUUUGUUCGAUUUGAAUACAAACCUUGUGGUUGCUGUUUACAUGUUUGUUCCACUCUGAAAUUAGGAGAAUAAAUAGAUCAAUGCACUCUC